AACCUCCGCAAUGUGAGAAAUCGCGACGGGGGGAUCCCAAGUGCCAUUCUUAACGGGAUGGCUUUUCUUAAGUGUAAAAAGCUUUUGGAAUAAGAGCUGGGCAAGACCGGUGCCAGCCGCCGCGGUAACACCGGCAGCUCUAGUGGUAGCUGUUUUUAUUGGGCCUAAAGCGUUCGUAGCCGGUUUAAUAAGUCUCUGGUGAAAUCCUGUAGCUUAACUGUGGGAAUUGCUGGAGAUACUAUUAGACUUGAGACCGGGAGAGGUUAGAGGUACUCCCAGGGUAGAGGUGAAAUUCUGUAAUCCUGGGAGGACCGCCUGUUGCGAAGGCGUCUAACUGGAACGGUUCUGACGGUGAGGGACGAAAGUUAGGGGCGCGAACCGGAUUAGAUACCCGGGUAGUCCUAACUGUAAACGAUGCGGACUUGGUGUUGGGGUGGCUUUGAGCUGCUCCAGUGCCGAAGGGAAGCUGUUAAGUCCGCCGCCUGGGAAGUACGGUCGCAAGACUGAAACUUAAAGGAAUU
rnacentral:rRNA from 1 species